AGAUAGCUGUGGGCAGUUACAUUCAAUUGCAAUGGACUAGCAGAGCUGAAGCAGGGAUGGUCCAAGCUGUGGCAGGAGGAAUAGCAGAAGGGUCUACCUGAUGACAGGCUCCGAAACUGGCUGUGACAGGUAGAAAGAUGGCUCUGCUGAGAUGAGCUCUUAAUUAAUGCACUGAGAGCUUAUGAGUCCCACCUCUCAACAGGAAUGAUUGACGUCCAAGGAUACAUAAAUUACACUAAUUGAGCCCUGCCUCUAUGUAGGCUCUCCACAGCCAACUCAUCAGAGAAGCUAGGGCUGUACCGUAACCAGCUUCUUUGCUUGGCAACUCUAAUGAGCAACCUGCCACCAAAUUCAGAGAGAAUACUCCUUUUGGAGUUCCUGCUUUUCUAAGGCAAAGUGAUUUACAAUUUCUGUGCAAGCAAGAGAACUAAAGAACUCUUCAAAGAAGAAGGGAAGAUCCACAAUGACUAAAAGAGAAAGGGAAAAGCUAAGAAGUGACAUAAUGCUCAAAAUGAGCAGUCCCUCACUGCCUCCACUGGCAUUGGAAGCUAAUUGCAUCGCUAUUUGGUGAAUAAUCAACGAAUUAAAUGAGAUGAAAGAAACAGCAUAAAUUAACAAUGUCAAAAAACAUCGUAAGCCACCCUGAUGAUUAUAAGUGGCUCUGUUUGUUGUUUUGUGGAGCAAAAAUCAGGGUGGCCGACUACAGAUUCUACUUUUCAUCUGGGUGUUUUGAUGUUUUGCAGACAUAGCAUUUGGUGCAAGAGAGAAGUUACGGUUUUAAAUUUGUGAGAUACUGGGGUAAUUUUUCACGAUGCUUCUUAGUCCCUUCCUCCUGAAGAAGCGGGGUUAUCUCUGAGCCUGGACAUAAGUAGUGUGGUUCAAGGUCUCCUGUUGGCCUGAAUUGUGCAAAAGAAUGAUUGAGCUUUCUGAAGCUGCCAGUCUGACUUCAGAUUUUUGGGAAAUCUGUGCCCGAUGGAGUGUUCAGGCUGACUGGGAGCUUUCACUUCAUGUUCGCAACUGACUCUUUACGAGGGGAUCUCUGAGUAUGACAUCCGCAUCUGUAUUCUGUCAUUUGGCCAAGGUGACACUUUGCCUCAAUUAAAAGAAAAAUCCUAAGGGGCAUAAGCAGAUUCUCUUACUAAUGUAUAUAACCUAUAGGAAAAUAGGAGCCAAAGACAAGAUGUUUAGAAAAAAUUUUCCCUUUUUUAGGUCACUGCUUUUUUUAAAUUGUGAAUUAAAAUCGAAUAGCAAUUUGCUCUAGAUUAAGAAGUUAGAGAGCGAACAAAAUGGAUUUCUUGGGGCUGUCCCAGGGAUAGUGAAGAAAUGGCAGAAAUAACUUUAAUGCAGAGAGGUCACUGGCAAAUUCACUUUAAGACAUUUAAAAACACCAUUCCGAAGUUUAUUAUUUUAGUUUGAUCUGAUAUCAGAUACAAAGCAUUGCUCUCAUAGCGUUAAAGUAUCUAGCUAUUUCAAGGCCCUUAAAAAAGCUACAGUGUAAUUAUCCUUGGACCUGGACAGGGACCGCACUGUGCGAUGAUAUGACGAAUAGCUUUCCACACAGGGGCAUGGCCUGGACCCUGGGCCUGAGUCUUCAUGCAGCCAGAUUUGCACAGAUGGAAAGCAGGAUCCUUGCAGAACACCGUGGAUAGCUGUCGCUGUGCUGAGAUGUGUCCUGCACCCCGAAGGGUUUAUUCUUGGCCCAGUGCCCUCUGUCCCCAAGGUCCUGGCCCCAGGGGACUGCAGGUGUCCUCUGUAUUGUGGUAAGAGCCAAGGCUGUGGAAAUGCACAGCCUAGAAUGAAGAGAUAUCCCUCAAAAACUUCCCACUGGCUGUCUGAGACCAAACCACUUGCUUCCCAGCAGGGGGCCCAGCUCACUGGUAACCAUUUGAAAAACUAGCCUUUACCAUCCACGGAGAACAAAGAGGAGAGGAACAAAGCAAGAUGGCUAAAGGCAGAGGAGCAAAUCUUCUCUUUAUAACUCAGGAAUCAGAAAAUGUUUCCUCAGGGAUUCCGUGG
ensembl:lncRNA